UAAGAGCGGGCCGCCUCUUCGAGGUCGGAGACCAGAGGACAUGGCGUGGCGCAGAGUCGCCGUGGCCCUGGGGCCUGCUGGCCAGCUCCUCUUGCUGCUGUGCAUCAAGACCCUGGCUGCCGACACCUGUCCAGAGGUGAAGUUGGUGGGUCUGGAGGGCUCCGACAAGCUCACCAUUCUCCGGGGCUGCCCGGGGCUGCCCGGGGCCGCGGGGCCCAAGGGAGAGACAGGCACCACUGGAGGGAGAGG